rnacentral:sRNA from 1 species
UUACACUAAUAGCGGUGCAGUAUUCUAGUCAGUUCUGCUGUGCGGAAAGCGGGCCUAAAAAUCCGCCAAAUGGCACAUCGAUGAAGUUUCUGGUGUCUGAGCUUCGGACGCCCAGUCCGGGGCGGAUGCUGGGAGUUAAGGUUUGGGGGCAGUUUCCAACGGCAUGGAUCACAUGACCCCCUUUCCGCGGAGGCCCGUAGCUGUGGGCGUGUCUGCCGGUUUCGGCAUAACCGCUUACGGUACGGGGGGAAACCUGUAUUGCGGUUAGUAGCCGGCGCAAUUGCGUGCGGUGAAUGCUGUGUGCAGCGUAGCCAGCCUUGAGUGGAUUUGGCGGAUAAAUGAGCAGCUUCGGCAGGAAAGCGUACGUAUCUUGUCAAGUAUCGCAUUUUGAAACUUCUUCUGCAAAAAAGGAUACGCACAUCAAAGGCUGUUUGGGAAAACUUCUAGACUGUCGAUAAUUCGGACGGAUACGGGAUUGCAGUACGGACUGAGUGGCAAUCCGGCAACUCUUUUUGAGUGGUUGCUUUUAAUGGGAAACCGCUGUUUCGGCGACGAUUCAGCAAGCAAUCGGGAAAGCCUGCCUGACCUAAGCCGUAAACUUUACCGUAUUCGUUGCCCUAUACUUAC